rnacentral:rRNA from 1 species
GACGAACGCUGGCGGCGUGCUUAACACAUGCAAGUCGAACGCAGUGGCGAACGGGUGAGUAAUGCGUGGGUAACCUGCCCUCCUUUUUGGGAUAAGCCUUCGAAACGGAGUCUAAUACCGAAUAAAGGGGGAUGGGCUCGCGGCCUAUCAGCUUGUUGGUGGGGUGAUGGGCUACCAAGGCGGUGACGGGUUGCGGGCCUGAGAGGGGGAACGGCGACUGAGGGACGGGGAUAAGGCCCAGGGGAGGAAGGGGGGCAGAAGCGGGGGAUAUGGAAGAAAGGGUGAAAGAGUGAUGCAGCGAAGACGAGGGGGGGAUUAAGGCUGUCGGGUUGUAAACCUAGAGAGCUAGAGAACGGGUAGGUGGAGAAGAAGCGCCGGCUAACUACGUGCCAGCAGCCGCGGUAAUAC